UGCCAGUGAAAGCUGGGGAGGAGGCAGUGCCAUUUGCAUGGUGUACACUACCCAGUAUGGAGUCCAGCCACUGAGCAGGCUUGCACAGAGAGUCAAAUUCAGUCUCCUGGAGCCCACUGUGACCUUCCCUGGAUUACAAGACCAGAUGUCUUUAAGAUAGAUCAGGUGCCAGAGAAGCCAAAUGGAGGAAGCCAUGCUGCUCAGCUGCUGGCAAGAGCUGGCAGUCUUUGGGAGUUGUUCCUGUCCCCACCCUUAUGUUAGAAUCAUUGGAACCAAGGUCCCAUCUCAGGUCAGCUGAGUCAGGAUCUCUGGGACAGGGAUUUCACAUCUGUCCAGAAUGUUUUAAGUUCUAAGCUCUGCCUAUGAACAGCCAGGUUGAGACCCACAGACCUGUUGGAAGAAUGGCUGCAGAAGACCAAGACCACAAACCAACCAAAGAAUUGCCGCUGAUGGCAGGCAUGAGCCCAGCAAUGGUGGCGUGUUUCCUUGGUGUGUAACUGUACACAGAAAGCAGGGUUUGUAGUGCACCAAGGCUAGUCACACAGCAGAUAAGUGGCCCACUUCCCUAUUGUCUACCUCCAAAGAACUGAUUUUUAAAUUGCACAUAGCAUUCAUCAAACAAUUAUUUUCCUUCUAUGGGGCUAAGUUGAGUGGCCAUGGCUUUUUUUAAGCCAAGUAUUGAAUGUUGGACACUUCAUCAAAUAAAGAAUUUUUAUUAAGACAUAACCUUUCCUAAUUAUGGAAGCAAAUAGGCCCAAGGUGUGGGUAGGUGAUAGCUAAAUUUAUGUUCUUCAGUUGGCCAUGAGUUUUGAAAAUGAAGAUGACUGUGGGCCUCUGUGAUAGUCUAGCAUAGUGAUAAGCUGUGAUGUUUGUGAGCACUGUCUGCAGCCCAAUAUGUUCUUCACAGAAGCAAGCUAGCAUGUGCUAAGAAGUUCCAUACACAGGAGGUAUAGCCCUCCUCAGCCAGUGCUUCCAUCUUUUGAAUUCACGGUGUCACCUGUGACAUCAAGGGGAGCGGUGCUGGAUUGCCAGCUUUUCAUCCCACUGGUCACCUUGAAAGCUACAAUUAUCAAGUGGCAGGAACCAUAGUUUUAGAGAAACCUCAGACGUAGUUAUUUAAGAACACAGCAUUUUAUCAAAUAGAAAGAUGACCCAGGAGGGCCAUAGAAGGAAUGCCAUGUGUAUAUUGCAGCCCUUUGUCGGGAGUGGAAGCAGCCAUCAAGCUAGGGUCACAGGAAGACAACCUCAGUACUUGUGACUCCUGAGAAUGACCUGCCAGUUGGUGGCUCUCAAGGCCAUGCUCCUCCCUAUGAGGUACAGUUCUGAAUAUACAACUGUCUGUAUGGUGCAGUCACACAGGAGCUUAAAACAUGCUUGUACCGAAGAUGCUUGGGCAGAAAGUGGGAUGAAGAUGAGGCUGAGCAUAUGCGUACUUUUGAAAGAACUCUGGGGUGAAUCUCAUGUGUAAUAAGGCUGGGAAGUGCUGAUGUAUUCUAGGUAAAUGGCUGAAAUAGAUAACAAGGGAUGUCACCUGGGACACAUACCCCACCAAUCCCAGUAUCAGCAAAGGGCAAGGACCCUUAGUGGACUUCAGUGGACAAGAUGGACCCAGGCCCAAGCAAACAUCCCAUCCCUUUGUUGACUUCUUGAUCCCCGCCCUGCAGAAAUGACACAAAGCAGGGACAGGUCGCCGUGGACUUUAUGUUUCUGCACACACUUGGCUUCCUGGUCCCUCCUGAGUCAGAAGCUAAGCCUGCGCAGCCCAAUCACAAGUUCACCUGCAGGGGAGCUUCAGAGCUUCCAGGUUUCACGUGCCAUGGUCUGGGCACACUGCAGCGUUCCUUCACGUGCUGUGGUCUGGGCUCAUUGCAACAUUCCAUGAAGCUUUGUGUGUGUCCCAAACUACUUGCGGAUGUCACAGCUCCAUCUUCUCCAGAACUCUGGAACAAAUCCAUAAGGGAGGAUGGAGCAGCCAUGAGGAGAACUGGGACUGUGGGACCCCGACUUAGAGCAUUUCUCCCUGGAAGUUACCAAGCAUGUCCUGAAGAUGAAGAUACUCUCAGCCUAAUGUCUCCAAGCAAAUAUUGAUUCAGCAGUAUCACCCAGCCGCAUGCAGAGGUCCAAAGCACGUAAACAGGAUACCCACCCUGCAUUAUCUUAUAUUUUAAGUCAAUAUGAAGAUGGACAUUCUACCCCUGAGACCAAUU